rnacentral:rRNA from 1 species
CUCGCGGCCUAUCAGUUUGUUGGUGAGGUGAUGGCUCACCAAGACGAUGACGGGUAGCCGGCCUGAGAGGGCGACCGGCCACACUGGGACUGAGACACGGCCCAGACUCCUACGGGAGGCAGCAGUGGGGAAUAUUGCACAAUGGGCGAAAGCCUGAUGCAGCGACGCCGCGUGGGGGAUGACGGCCUUCGGGUUGUAAACCCCUUUCAGUAGGGAAGAAGCGAGAGUGACGGUACCUGCAGAAGAAGCGCCGGCUAACUACGUGCCAGCAGCCGCGGUAAUACGUAGGGCGCAAGCGUUGUCCGGAAUUAUUGGGCGUAAAGAGCUUGUAGGUGGCUUGUCGCGUCUGCCGUGAAAACCCGAGGCUCAACCUCGGGCGUGCGGUGGGUACGGGCAGGCUAGAGUGUGGUAGGGGAGACUGGAACUCCUGGUGUAGCGGUGAAAUGCGCAGAUAUCAGGAAGAACACCGAUGGCGAAGGCAGGUCUCUGGGCCAUUACUGACACUGAGAAGCGAAAGCAUGGGUAGCGAACAGGAUUAGAUACCCUGGUAGUCCAUGCCGUAAACGUUGGGCACUAGGUGUGGGGGACAUUCCACGUUUUCCGCGCCGUAGCUAACGCA